rnacentral:lncRNA from 1 species
AAACUACUCUAUGAACUUUAUGAAUAAAACAACACACAACCCAGAUACUGUAAUAAACCCUAGAAUCAAAGUUUAUUCUUCGGCAUAAAAAUGGAUCCAAAAUUCGAAUGGAGUGAAUAGAACAGGGUAAAAAAGGAGAGAGGAAGAUUGCAGAUUGGCGUUGGAUAGACCGUACGAAGCACGCAAAUAUAGUGGACGAGCCAGCAAAAAAAGAAAAAGAAGAUAUAACCCGCCCCGACCUGUGCAAUAGAAUCUUGUUCUGCAGAAAGUUAAGUUUCAUAAUACACAUUUGCUUCUUGUUGUUAGGGAAAGCAUGUGGAAAUUCCUUGUUCUUCAAUUGAAUGUGAUGAACCCUAGGAGAAAAUCAGAGGAAGAUGAAGGGGAAGAGUUUGGAGAAGGCUCUGGAAAUUAACGCUG